rnacentral:rRNA from 1 species
UACGUAGGGUGCAAGCGUUGUCCGGAAUUAUUGGGCGUAAAGAGCUUGUAGGCGGUUUGUCGCGUCUGCUGUGAAAUUUCGGGGCUCAACCCCGAACUUGCAGUGGGUACGGGCAGACUAGAGUGUGGUAGGGGAGACUGGAAUUCCUGGUGUAGCGGUGAAAUGCGCAGAUAUCGGGAGGAACACCGGUGGCGAAGGCGGUUCUCUGGGCCUGACCUGACGCUGAGGAGCGAAAGCGUGGGGAGCGAACAGG